GAAAAUGAGGCCAGGCCAAAGAACAAGGGGCCUUGAAGCUUAUUAGAAGGGCAUGGAUUUUAUCCACAAAGCAAUGGGAUGCCACUGGAGAAUUUAAAUUAGCCGGUGGCAUAAUGAGCUCUCUAUUCCCAAAAGCUCACUCUGGUUGCAACGUGGAUAGGAAUGUAUGCGGAUUGGAACCUGAUUAAGCAACGUAGCAACAAGGCAGAGUCGGUGAUGCCUGGACAAGGGCAGUGGGUGGGGAUGGAGCGGAAGGACCUGACCAUAAAAGUUACUCCGGAAGGAAAAUCCAGAGAACCUGUUGAUGAAUAGGCUGUGGGGUUGAGUGAAAACUGAUACCACCACUUUGAAGGGAGAUUUAUCAUUAGCUAUUAAAAUUAGAAAAGGGAAUAGUCUAUGACUCAGAAAUGUCAUUUAUAGUUAGCUACUCUAAAGAAGGAUAUUUCAACAUUGUUUGUUAAAAAUUAGAUAGACCAACACGUCCAUCAAUAAGGAACUGGAUAAAGAAUGUGACAUUCAAAGGCAUGAGCAGCACCUCUAUGUAACAAAAUGGUUCUGUCUCCAACGCGUUCUCUGACUGAGAGAAAAAAAGCCAGUUAUGGCAUCAUACAUUGAAGCGUUGAUGUGCUAGCGAAAAACUCAUUUUGGCAUUUGGGAGAGCCCCAUUGUGGACAGCUGGCCUCCCACCUUCUCACCCUGAAGCAGACUUGUUAGACGUCAAGUCUCACACACCCACACUUCUACUUAGUCUUCUUAUCUCUUUAAAAACAUUUUAAUAGUGAGUAGAUGCACAAUAACAUUGACAGAAUGCACGUAAACUAUACAGAGUUAGGAUACAAUGAACACUCUGCCCACCACCAACUGUAAGAGCAGAAAAACACUGUCAUUAUUUCCCAUGUCUUAUGUAUCCCUCUCUAGUCCAUCCUAUCCUUCCCCUCUCAGAGACUAUUGUCAGGCUCAUUUUUAUCAAUCUGGUAGGAGUGAAGUGAUAUCUAGUAAGCAAAUGGGGAUCUCAGGCCUGUACCCACAAGGAAACAAAUUCUGCCACAACCAUGUCAGCUUGAAAGAGGACCAUGAGCUCCAGAAUGAAACGCAGCCUGCCUAACACCAUGACUGUACCUCGUGAGACUCUGAGCAGAGGACCCAGGAAAGCCAUGCCUGCAUCCUGACCCCCCAGAAAUGGAGAUAAUAAAUGUAUAUUGUUUUAAGCCACUAAAUUUGUGUUAAUUAGUUGUGUAGCAACAGAUAACUAAUACAAUAUUGGAUCCAUG
rnacentral:lncRNA from 1 species